rnacentral:rRNA from 1 species
GACGAACGCUGGCGGCGUGCCUAAUACAUGCAAGUCGAGCGGACUUUCAAGAAGCUUGCUUUUUGAAAGUUAGCGGCGGACGGGUGAGUAACACGUGGGCAACCUGCCUGCAAGACGGGGAUAACUCCGGGAAACCGGGGCUAAUACCGGAUAAUAUCUUCCUUCGCAUGAAGGAAGGUUGAAAGGCGGCGCAAGCUGCCGCUUGCAGAUGGUCCCGCGGCGCAUUAGCUAGUUGGUGAGGUAACGGCUAACCAAGGCGCCGAUGCGUAGCCGACCGGGGGGGGUGAUCGGCCACACGGGGACUGAGACACGGCCCAGACCCCUACGGGAGGCAGCAGUAGGGAAUCUUCCGCAAUGGACGAAAGUCUGACGGAGCAACGCCGCGUGAGCGAAGAAGGCCUUCGGAUCGUAAAGCUCUGUUGUCAGGGAAGAACAAGUACCGUUCGAACAGGGCGGUACCUAGACGGUACCUGACCAGAAAGCCACGGCUAACUACG